AGGUCCGCUGGGCUCUCGCCGCGCACUACACCCGCCCGCGUCCCCAGCUUCCGGCGCCUCAGCCCACAGAAGAGCAUACCCUAGAUUCUCGAUUCCCGGACUGGUAGCAAGCAGAAAUGAGGAGGGCCCAACCGCGCCCGAGGCCUUAAAUACUAAUGGGGGGCGGAGUGUCGGGAGGAGUCUGAAGGCCAGGGUGCGGCCGCUCCCGAGUAGGAAAAGGAACAGUAAGGCCAGGUACCCAUGGGAACUUUGAUGUUUUUGCUGCCUGCGCCGACCUUGCUGCUACAACAUACUCCAGCUGAAGAAGUGGAUGGAUUUUGUGUUUUUUUUCCUUUAUAAACACAAAGCUUAUUAUU
rnacentral:lncRNA from 1 species